UACCUGGUUGAUCCUGCCAGUAGUCAUAUGCUUGUCUCAAAGAUUAAGCCAUGCAAGUCUAAGUACGAGCUCUCGUACAGUGAAACUGCGAAUGGCUCAUUAAAUCAGUUAUGGUUCAUUUGAUCGUACAGUUUACUUGGAUAACUGUGGUAAUUCUAGAGCUAAUACAUGCGAGAAGCGCCGACCUCGCGGGAGGCGUGCAUUUAUCAGACCAAAAACCGGCCGCGUCUUCGGGCGCGUUCGCCUUGGUGACUCUGGAUAACUUUGCGGAUCGCACGGUCUAGCACCGGCGACGGAUCAUUCAACUGUCUGCCCUAUCAACUUUCGUCGGUACGGUAUUUGCCUACCGAGGUUCUUACGGGUGACGGGGAAUCAGGGUUCGAUUCCGGAGAGGGAGCCUGAGAAACGGCUACCACAUCCAAGGAAGGCAGCAGGCGCGCAAAUUACCCAUUCCCGACGCGGGGAGGUAGUGACGAAAAAUAACAAUGCAGGACUCGUUCGAGGCCCUGUAAUUGGAAUGAGUACACUUUAAAAGCUUUAACGAGUAUCCAUUGGAGGGCAAGUCUGGUGCCAGCAGCCGCGGUAAUUCAGCUCAAAAGUAUAUAUU
rnacentral:ncRNA from 1 species